UAGGUGCAAUUGUUAUCUUCAUUUUACAGAUGAGGAUACUUGUCUAGGACACUGAGCUAGAAAGUAUGUACAACAGAAUUUAGAGUUAGUUCCUUCUUCUUCAGUGCCCUGCACCACAUGCCCAGUGUCAAGCAAUUGCCACAGUAAGUCACCUUCAGGUGGAGAAACUGAGGCUCAGAGACAUUGUGAGUUGCAUCACAUAAUGGAUAAUGGAUGAAACAUCUACCUGAUACCAGAUACUCUGGUACUUAGAAUAACUUUGGAUCCAACAAUCCUAUGCAUUGCACUGGAGAAAUUUUGUUGGAAUGAUGCCAAGUCCUGGAAAAAACCUCUUAUAAGACCAUGGAAUCAUCUUUCUUGCUUCCACAUGAAGAACAUCAAGCCUGGGUUCUGUGAGGGCAUCUCUUGUGGAAUACCAUUUUGGUUUUGGCAUUUCUAUAUGGCUUUUAGAGUUAUUGUUUACUGUCUCAUUUUGCAGUGAGUACUGACCUAAUUUUCUGGGCAUUAAAUGCUUCUCCAGUUUGGGAAGUGAAUUUAGCCUUGGAAACCUUCCUUAGAACCCUCCAUCCUUUCUUGAUUUUCUCUGUUUAAUACAUUAGACUUUCCCUUAAACAUGCCAA
rnacentral:lncRNA from 1 species